ACGAAGGGUGCAAGCGUUACUCGGAAUUACUGGGCGUAAAGCGUGCGUAGGCGGUUCGUUAAGUCUGACGUGAAAUCCCCGGGCUCAACCUGGGACGUGCGUUGGAAACUGGCGAUCUAGAGUACGGUAGAGGGUGGUGGAAUUCCCGGUGUAGCAGUGAAAUGCGUAGAGAUCGGGAGGAACACUCGUGGCGAAGGCGGCCACCUGGACCAGUACUGACGCUGAGGCACGAAAGCGUGGGGAGCAAACAGGAUUAGAUACCCUGGUAGUCCACGCCCUAAACGAUGCGAACUGGAUGUUGGGCUCACUUCGGAGCUCAGUAUCGAAGCUAACGCGUUAAGUUCGCCGCCUGGGGAGUACGGUCGCAAGACUG
rnacentral:rRNA from 1 species